AAACGAUGGACUACACCUCGCUCAUGAGCACAAACCGACUAGGUUAUAUCCUAGAUUUAGCAGAAAUUAAAAUUAAAAAAAAAAAAAAAAAUAAUAAUAAUAAUAAUAAUAAUAAAAUGAAAACGCUAGAAGCAGUUGAUGAGAAAAUAAAAGGGGCCGAUAUGUUAAAUGGUCGAAACAAAAGUUAUACAUUGCAGUCAAACGAACUUGAAAAAUUAAAGUGCUACAGUUUUAUGUCAUGUGACAACAAUAUUGGCAAUAAUAAUAGCGUAUGUUCUAAUUACAUUGAUGUAUAUAACAAUAGUAACGCUACAGAGGAAGCAUUAUCAAAUUCAAUCAACUUUAAAGAUUCAAAACAAAAAACAAAUAACAUUUUACAUGAACAUCCUACACAGAACAAUUUACUUCAAAAUACACAUGUUCUUAUGAAUAAUAAAACAAAUAACACAGAACAAACAUAUAAUGAUUCUUAUGCGAAAAAUAAUUUAGAAGCUACAGAAGUAGGUGGGUUUGAUUGUAUAGGUAACAAUAGUACCUAUGUAGAUAGCUUAAACCAAAAUGAAAAAUCUAAUAAAUUUUAUAACAUUAAAUCGGCAUCUUCAUGUCAUUUAUCAUAUCCAUCACAACAAUCGUCACACCAAUUAUCAUUCUGUAAAUUGCCAAUAUCGUGUUCAGCUUUGUCAAAAAAAAAUAAAGAUAGUAAUAGUAGUAGUUGUAAUAAUAUUAUUAAUCAUGAUAGUAAUAUUAACAAUGACAAUGCCUUGCUAAACAAUACAUGCGAAAACACAUCCACCAUAAAUAAACACUAUCAAACGAUAUAUAAAACUAAUAGUGGUAGUAAUGUUAGCGAAAUAAGUGUAAAUAAUAAAUGCUCACAAACAACUAACACUAACUCUUCGUUUAAUUCUUUAAGUAACCAAAGUGAUUAUACUCUUAUCACUACCAGUUCAAGUUCGAAUAACAAAGAAGCGUGUCAAGCACAAGGAACAGAUGCACCACAAUUAAAUGAUGAAAAAAAAAACAAAUCGAAUUUAUUUAAUGAAAAGUUUUCAAAUAAUAAUGAUGAUAAACAAAAAUUGAUGUGUACUGAUAAAAGAAAAAAAAAAAAAAAAAAAAAAAAAGCAAGAAAAAAAAAAAUAAAGUUGCAGAACGGGGUGCUUGAGAAUAUAGAUAAAGAAAUGUUGGAUAAAAAAGUUGACACUGUCGUCACAAAUACAGUCGAUGUUCGUCCCGUUGUAGUUCCUAACAUACCAAACGUGUCAAACGUGUUGAACGCACCGAACAGACAAAACCAAGAGUCCGAAUAUAAAUCAACUAAUAAUAUAAACAUACCAAACGAGAGAGAUAAAGGUAAUGAUGGAGAAGAAGAAAAAAACGAUGAAGACGAAGAUGAAGAUGAAGAUGAAGAUGAAGAUGAAGACGAAGAUGAAGACGAAGACGAAGAUGAUGACACAACGUUUAAUAAAACAUCAGGGACUAUGAAAAGAAUAAGCGAAAAUAAAAGUACAACCUAUCGUAACAUCGAAAUGAAUAAAAUAAAUUCCGUUUGGAUGAUAAAAGAUAAAAAUAAUAAAACUAUUAAUGUAAAAUGGGAAAAUAAAAUUUUUGAAAAAUUAUUUUUUGAAACAUUUGAAAACCAUAUUAAGAAAUACAUAAAUGAUUAUCACCCUGACUGGAGAACAUACCCAUACAAUGGUUCUACAAUUACUAAUAUAAAACAUUCUUAUUUGAAUAGUAUCAAGUGAAAAUGUGUUUACAGAACAUACAAACUACACAUGCUAAUAUCUUACUACAUGUAUAGUUUCUUUCUUUCUUUCUUUUUUUUUUUUU
ensembl:lncRNA